rnacentral:tRNA from 1 species
UGGGUUGGGGCUCAGUGGUAGAGUGCUUGCCUAGCACGUGCGGGACCCUGGGUUUGAUCCUCAGCAGCAUAU